rnacentral:tmRNA from 1 species
GGGGGCGAAACGGCUUCGACGUAGAUGGAUAACUUUAAGUUGCAUGCCGAGGUCCUGUCCGCUCGUAAAACGGGUAGGGAACUAACAAGUGCCGACAACUACGGCUACGCUCUAGCUGCUUAAAGCUGGCGUCUGGGCUUUCCCGCCAGGAGGAUUUCCCAGGCGACGGUAUCCUGGCAAAGCCGCCAUCCAGGCCUGCGGUUUGGCGGUCGAAAACUUCAGCAGGCUAGCUUCCGGAAAUUCCGCCGGCGGAAGGUCCAGGGGGCGAAGGGAAAACGCCGGCUAAGCAUGUAGACGCUUAAGGGGACCUUUUGCGGACGCGGGUUCGACUCCCGCCGCCUCCACCA